GACGAACGCUGGCGGCAGGCUUAACACAUGCAAGUCGAACGCCCCGCAAGGGGAGUGGCAGACGGGUGAGUAACACGUGGGAACGUACCCUUCGGUUCGGAAUAACUUGGGGAAACUCAAGCUAAUACCGGAUAAGCCCUUAUGGGGAAAGGUUUACUGCCGAAGGAUCGGCCCGCGUCUGAUUAGCUAGUGGGUGAGGUAAUGGCUCACCAAGGCGACGAUCAGUAGCUGGUCUGAGUGGAUGAUCAGCCACACUGGGACUGAGACACGGCCCAGACUCCUACGGGAGGCAGCAGUGGGGAAUAUUGGACAAUGGGGGCAACCCUGAUCCAGCCAUGCCGCGUGAGUGAUGAAGGCCUUAGGGUUGUAAAGCUCUUUUACCCGGGACGAUAAUGACUGUACCGGGAGAAUAAGCCCCGGCUAACUUCGUGCCAGCAGCCGCGGUAA
rnacentral:rRNA from 1 species